rnacentral:lncRNA from 1 species
AUCAAGGCGGAGGCUGGACUCGCGUCUACUGCCAGAAGAACACUUGUCCAGCACCCUCCGCUCCUUCCGUUCUAACUUCUAGCUCCUGCCCUUACAGCAUAGGGCUAGACAACUGGCAACAGCUGACGGGAUCGACCAAUAGUUCCGAGGCUGCGGUCGUCAUUAACGUGGAGCUAACCCUAACUGGAGGC